AGAGUUUGAUCCUGGCUCAGAUUGAACGCUGGCGGAAUGCUUUACACAUGCAAGUCGAGCGGCAGCGCGGGGCAACCUGGCGGCGAGCGGCGAACGGGUGAGUAAUGCAUCGGAACGUACCCAUUUGUGGGGGAUAACUAUCCGAAAGGAUAGCUAAUACCGCAUAAGUCCUGAGGGAGAAAGCAGGGGAUCGCAAGACCUUGCGCGAAUGGAGCGGCCGAUGCCGGAUUAGCUAGUUGGUAGGGUAAAGGCCUACCAAGGCGACGAUCCGUAGCUGGUCUGAGAGGGUGAUCAGCCACACUGGAACUGAGACACGGUCCAGACUCCUACGGGAGGCAGCAGUGGGGAAUUUUGGACAAUGGGGGCAACCCUGAUCCAGCCAUUCCGCGUGAGUGGAGAAGGCCUUCGGGUUGUAAAGCUCUUUCGGCAGGAACGAAACGGUGGGGGCUAAUACCCUCCGCUAAUGACGGUACCUGAAGAAGAAGCACCGGCUAACUACGUGCCAGCAGCCGCGGUAAUACGUAGGGUGCGAGCGUUAAUCGGAAUUACUGGGCGUAAAGCGUGCGCAGGCGGUUCUAUAAGACAGAUGUGAAAUCCCCGGGCUUAACCUGGGAACUGCGUUUGUGACUGUAGGACUCGAGUGUGGCAGAGGGGGGUGGAAUUCCACGUGUAGCAGUGAAAUGCGUAGAGAUGUGGAGGAACACCGAUGGCGAAGGCAGCCCCCUGGGUCAACACUGACGCUCAUGCACGAAAGCGUGGGUAGCAAACAGGAUUAGAUACCCUGGUAGUCCACGCCCUAAACGAUGCGAACUAGGUGUUGGGGAAGGAGACUUUCUUAGUACCGCAGCUAACGCGUGAAGUUCGCCGCCUGGGGAGUACGGUCGCAAGAUUAAAACUCAAAGGAAUUGACGG
rnacentral:rRNA from 1 species